CCCCGACCGGGGAGGGGAUUGCACGCACGGGUACACGUCGAGAUUAGGGAAAUUAUGCGUAAUAAUGGCCGGUCGGAUGAAUACGGGAACAGUGAGAAAAUGAAAGUCUCGCGAAAACAUACGAAUCCGGGAACAAAUAAUAAUAAUCAUCUCGGAUCGGGAAUUGAAACAUGGGAUAUACAAUUAUCUCUCGCUCGCAAUGAGUAAAACACGAAGUGUUAAUAGGGUUAGAAGGGCACGUGGUAUUGCGCGAAUAUUAAUGUUCAAUAACGGAAUGAAUUGAAAAGUAAGCCGAAAACAGUACAAGAAACAGGGUAAGCAACAGGAUUAUCGAUUAACUAAAUAUGAGAUCGACUGAUCCAUCGAUCAUCCCUUUUAAGAACAAACAGUCGUACAAUUAUAAAAUAGAGCGAGAGAACUUACCGACAAAAAUCGAGAAACAGGCUCUAAUUUUUCUCGGGCAUCAAGGCCAAUACGUCGCUAAGAGACCGUCUAAUAAGACGGAGAGGUAUAAAUGAGUCGAUGAAUGGAAAAGGUAUGAGUGAAAAACCCUUGAUCGGGGAAGGGGGUCUCGGUGCACAGGUAUACGUUAGGAUUAGGAACAGCGGAAAACUGAUGCGCAAUAACGACCGGUCGAGUAAAGGGGAGACCGAGAGUGACAGACAACUUGCGGAAGACGCGCCAAUAGUCGAACAAAUAGUACCGAGCUGACAAAUGGAAAAUCACCCUUCAAGGAUUGAGAGGAAAGAAAAGAAAAGAAAAGAAGAGGAGACAAAAACUACGAAUGGUAUAAUUGUAACAAGAACGCUAGAUCGACCAAUAAGCAGCUUGACCGCACACGUCCAAACGGAACGGACCUCGGUCGAAUAAUGAUGGAUGAAUAAAUGAACAUAAUAGAAUGAUAACACCAAUGGUGAAAUUGAUAAGAAUAAAACCAUCUAACCGGAACGAAGUGUCGUGAUUUAUACGAAACAAGAAAUAAUGACAACGAGAAGAAAAGGUCCAAGCGCCGAUACAAAAAAAAAAAAACAAACAAAAACAACAACACAAAACACAAAUGAAACGAAGUGAUGAGGGGGAAUAAAACUUGUGAACUAUCAAGUGACUCGAAGCGCAUUGAAAAGAGUCCAAACAGCUCGAAAAAACUACACUGUAAAACGAAGAAACGACAAAGGAGACGCGACGUAUUACAAGCGAACGGACCGUUGAACGACACGGAGAUUCAGCAUGUGCAGGGAGAUCUUGCAUACAGAUGGAAACCAGUAAUAACGGGAGGACAACGCGUAACGCCUAUUAACGGUAAAUCACAAUAACAAUGUGUCCAUCGGUGGUGCACGGCAAUUAAUAUUGAAAAACGCGGAAGGAUGCAACACGAGCCACCACAAGCGGCAAAAAGGAAACAAGACGAAUCACAAGAGAUGACAGCUCGAAAACACGUGAUGAACCACCCAGAGGGGAAAAGGUCUAGAUAAGAAACGAAUCUAGAACAAUAAGAAAGGAAACAAUUAAUCGAGGGACAGAUGAACAAAUAAAUAAUCGUAUGAACAAGAUGCUUGAUAAACUACCUAAUCGCCCGGUCUCUGUAUAUUCCGUGACACUCCUCGUGACGUUUGCAAAGAGACGGUUAGACAUCCUAACGGCUCGUAUUGAAAAGCGAAAAGAGGGUUUAAUUCAGAGAACGUUUCUACACAAUAUCUCUUAUCCCAUCCUUUGUAGCGCACGGGUCAGACGCACUGGGUCAGAUAUAUUUUGAAGCACCGCGAAACACGGUCAGUCUCGACAAUGAUCCAGAACUGAUGACUAUUACUGAUUUAGACAGAUAUAUCGUCGGUCUAAACGAGACACGCUGAUCCAGUUGAAACGAUAGAAAAUUUAAAUGAACACGAUGAACAACGUGAGCGACGGCCAGCCUCUGUUGUUGUUGUCGCCGCUGCUGACCCUCUCCCUUGAUGCUGCUCUUGAUGUGGGCACGGGAAUAGCUGUAAUAACAAGUGAACAUAAUAACAGCAGGAGAAAGCGGGAAUCAGCAUGGAUGUCGAACAAACGGGCGUACCUGGUGAACAAUCGAAGCAAGGAUGAGAAACCAACAUUGAUGAACACGGAGCACGAUUUGAAUUUGCGCACGAUCAAGAUCAGUCAUCGAUCGGAAUUCAAACACUGCUUACAGUGUUUCCAAAAAUUUGACUUGACAUGACAACAGUCACGUUUCGCACGGUAUGAAUCGAUAAAAGGGUUAAGUGAUCGGCAAACAAUGACUGAGUCACGGUUAAGCGAAGCUACCUGAGAAGGGGUUCCCGCACCCGAUGAGACCACCAGGUAUGGAAACAAUGAGAAUGAAUAUGGCCUGUCAACAGUCGGCCAUAUUGCAUUAUCAAGCUGCGGGAAGGAUUGAAGCACGAUUAAGUUUCAUACGAAUCAGACAGUAUCAAGAUAACGAUAGACACGGAAGAAUCACUUAUACACCCACUUAUUUAUCUAUCCAUCUAAAUUCUUAACAAAAGGUGAACUAAUUUACGCACGUGAGGUCAAUGGAACAAAGAGGAAGAGGACUGAAUAGCGACAAACGAACGAAUCCUGCUCAAGACAAUGCGACCUAUGAAUUGAUAAUUAGCCGUGCUGUCAGGAAAGAUACAGAGAGCGAAUGUUGAAGACUUUUCGGGGGACGGACCAGGGUCAAGUAUCGCUUCGAUCCAAUGUCAUUGUAGGCAGACAGCGAAGAAGAGAGUAACAAAAAUUAACAAAGAAAAUUUAGAAACCCAAAAGCUGAGGAUGACCUGCUACUAUUUCCUCUUAAAAGGAGACACAUUAGAGAUAGGCACAAAGGAUCGAAUCGCAGCACGUCUGGUUUGUGUAAAGAAGCGAAAAGAAAGAAAGAGCGGCUACGACGCUUGAAUCUGACUGGUAACCUCGCCCGAGCGAAAAGCAGCGUCGGAAAACCAAUGAAUAAACGAUAAAAUCAUGCUUGGAAAGAUAACAAACGCUCGAGGGAUAUGAUCAAUAACGGGCUAGAUACGAAUUAAAUAACUGAUUAACAGAUACAUCCUCUCCUUUCCUCUUCUCAUUCUAAACGCAAGGAAUGAAUCACGGGAGAAACGACGAGGCUAACAGUGGAACAGAAACCAGGACUAUUGAGAAUUGAACAAAAACACAUAGGACUCACUGAUCAAACAACGCUACAAAUCGAUCGAACACGAAUCCAGAAGGACUGGGCGGAUAAGUGAACUAAUAUUGACCAAAAUCUAUACAACCCUCACAGAAUGCAGGAAUGCGUUAUCUGACAAGGGGCCAGAUACAUGAUUUGUCUAUCAUAGAGAACGAACGAACGAAGAGAGCUAAACGGGAAUCAAGGAAAGGAGACGAAAUAACGGGAACCAGAGAGAGGGCACGAACAUAAGAUGGAAGGGAUAAUCCAGUAUAUAGAGCAUACCACGAAGGUGGAGGCGAUGGGUGUAUACCAAGAAGGGAUAAACCAGGCGGAAGGGGCCGCUUUGACCAAUGCCAACGCCCUAGAAAACGUUCGUUGCAUGCCAGAGCAUAGAACGGAGGGGAUAGCUGGAGAGUAAGUAAAAAGGUCGGAGCGCGAGCGCGGAGCAAUAAUUUGUACGGGUUAAUCCUCGACAUCGGAGCGCUUCUCUGUUUUACGUACGUUUAGAAAACUUUGAAAUUUUCGCGAUGAAUCGUCAGUUUGUUAGAAACGAGUCCGAAGACUCGCACCAAAUAGCGGUGGUCCCUCAAGGAUUCCCCGAUAGAAUCCUGACCUUCAGGAAGGUCGAGGAGUCCGGCGAUGCGCUUAACCAGUGCGUAAUAAAUUAUAUCGAAGCGCGUAGGAACAAAUCGCUGCCGUACGUGCAACCGGGUUUUCUCUCGUCUUUCCGAAGAACGACGGCAUUCUAUUAGCCUGCGACAAAGAGGCAACAGUGAAAAGGUUAAGGGUAGUGAUCAAGUCUGCGAAGUUAGCCGCUGGAUGUGAGCUUCGAGUAGACGAGAAAGAAGCUCUCGACAACCGACUUUUGAUCGAGAGUAGAGCGACGCAUUCCCGGUUUAACGGGAGGAACGCCGUUCGCGAACUUGAGAGACAUAACGCACGCCAGUGCCGACAAAGGCUCCUCCGACGCCUCGUCCACGUUGACGAUCUCGCCCCCGCUGCAGGAGGAGAUUGUAAAAGUCGCAGAGAGACCGACGACGGCGUAGUCAACCGCCAGGAGAGAGAACAACAAAGGAACGCGUGGUAAAUCACGAAGCGACAGAAUACAGAAAUGCGUUAUCUGACAAGGGGCCAGAUACACGAUUUGUAUAUUAUAAAGAACGAACGAAUGAAGAGGGUUAAACAGGAAUCAAGGAAAGAAGACGAAAUAGCGGGAACCAGAGAGAGGGCACGAACAUAAGAUGGAAGGGACAAUCCAAUAUAUAGAGCAUACCGUGAAUCUGGAGGCGACGAGUGUAUACCAAGAAGGGAUAAACCAGGCGGAAGGGGUCGUUUUGGCCAAUGCCAACGCCCUAGACAAUGUUCGUUGCAUGUCACAGCAUAGAACGGAGAGGAUAGCUGGAGAAUAGGUAAAAAGGUAGGAGCGCGAGCGCGGAGCAAUAAUUUGUGCGAAUUAAUCCUCGAUAUCGGAGCGCUUUUCUGUUUUACGUGCGUUUAGAAAACUUUGAAAUUUCCGCGAUGAACCGUCAGUUUGUUAGAAACGAGUUCGAGGACUCGCAUCAAGUAGCGGUGGUCUCUCAAGGAUCCCCCGAUAGAAACCUGACCUUCAGGGAGGCCGAGGUGUUCGGCGACGCGCUUAACCAGUACGUAAUAAAUUACAUAGAGGCGCGUAGAAACAAAUCGUUGCCAUACGUGCAGCCGGGGUUUUCUCUCGUUUUUCCGAAAGAACGGCGGCAUUCUAUUAGCCUGCAACAAAGAGGCAACAGUGGAAUGGCUAAGGGUAGCGAUCAAGUUCGGGAAGCUAGCCGGUGAACGUGAGCUUUGUGCAGACGAGAAAGAGGCUCUCGACAACCGAUUUUUCAGUCGAGGAUAGAACGACGCAUUACUGGUUUAACGGGAGAAACACCGUUCGUGAACUCGGGAGAUACAACGCAGGCCUGGAGGUAGCGCGAUAGAGGGUCGUGAGAGAAAAUAUACAAGGGUCGGACUGAUAAUAACGGGCCGAUCGACCGGGACCACUCGUAAGAGACGGAGUCGUUUGUUAUCAGACCAGACGGACGUUCACAGGUUUAACAUAUUAAUGGACAGCCAGGGAGAACACGGAAAUUGAGGUCACGGAGGACGAUUUCGCACCGGCAGUGGAAAUAAGGCACAGCCCGACGACGCGGAGAGGGUGAACGCUCUGGUCACAACCCUUGACGAUUCCUCGCGCAUUGAAGAGGUUCCGUCGCCGGAGGACGAGAUCACGACUCCCGAUGCAGAAGGAGACGAAUUCAUCCUGUCAGUGGAUUUGCACGGCUUCAAGGGCAUAGAAGUUGAGGUGCAGAACGAGGAGUUCCCGGUAGUGGACGGUGAGUGAAAAACCAUGGAGACAACAGUAACAACGACGACAAUGGAAACAGCAACAGCAACAAGGCUUUGUUAGCCUCGACGUCGACGCCGAAAGUGGUGUAUUCGAAAACGGAAAAACGGCUUCUAGCACGAGAAAGAGAGGACGAAGAGUAAAACGAUAAAGUUCGCCCGAAGACACGCGGACGACUCUGGCAUCGCCAGUGCCGACAAAGACUCCUCUGACGCUUCGUCCACAUUGACGAUCUCGCUCCUGCUGCAGGAGGAGACUCUAAAAGUUGCAGAGAGACAGCCGACGGCGAAGCCAGUCGCCAGGAGAGAGAGCAACAAGGGAACGCACGGUAAAUCACGGAGCGACAGGUCGGUGAGACAAUGAAUACAUACUUAUAUACAUACUCUCCUAACCCGAACACCGCGUUGUCCUUUACAACGAUCGGGCAGGAAGAGGAAGGUCUGACCGCGAUAAGAAUGGUACGGCUAAAACCGUAAUAAUUAUAUACGAUUAACCCGUGAUCAUUGCGUUCCAUACGAAUCUAGGGGAAUGAGGAAAUAGAUGAGCAACGAAGAACCGACGGAGUCGACGAGGACCGGAGGAAAUAGGAAAAGAAUGGACCGAGCGGCUGAGACAAGGACGGAGUGGUACAACCUAGGAGCACGUCCACGGGAAAAACACGGACGACGAACGACUCGCCACGGAUAACCCCCGGCAGACUCGUAGACCAGGCGAACGCUUCAAACGUGAUAGAUCCAGUAUAACAUAGAACACAGGAAUACGUUAUCUGACAAGAGGGCCAGAUACACGAUUUGUCCAUUAUAAAGAACGAGCGAAUGAAAAGGACUAAACGGGAAUCAAGGGAAGGAGACGAAAUAGCGGGAACCAGAGAGAGGGCACGAACAUAACAUGGAAGGGAUAAUCCAGUCUCUAGAGUAUACCAUGAAGGUGCAGACGGCAGGUGCUUACCAAGGAGGGAUAAACCAGACGGAAGGGGCCACCUUGGCCAAUGCCAACGCCCUAGACAACGUUCGUUGCAUGCCAGAGCAUAGAACGAAGGGGAUAGCUGAAGAGUAGGUAAAAAGGUCGGAGCGCGAGCGCGGAGCAAUAAUUUGUACAGGCUAAUCCUCGAUACCGGAGCGCUUCUCUGUUUUACGUACGUUUAGAAAACUCUGAGAAUUUUCGCGAUGAAUCGUCAGUUUGUUAGAAACGAGUUCGGAGACCCGCAUCAGGUAACGGUGGUUCCACGAGGAUUCCCCGGUAAAAAUCCUGACCUUCAGGGAGGCCGAGGAGUUCGACGACGCGCUUAACCAAUGCGUAAUAAAUUACAUCGAGGCGCGUAGGAACAAAUCCUUGCCGUACGUGCAACCAGGUUUUCUCUCGUUAUCCCGAAAGAACGGCGGCGUCCCGUCAGCCUGCGACAAAGAAACAACAGUGAAACGGCUAAGGGUAGCGAUCAAGUUCGUGAAGUUAGCCGGCGAAUGUGAGCUCCGCGUAGACGAGAUAGAAGCUCUCGACAACCGAUUUAUAGUCGAGGAUAGAGCGACGCAUUCCCAGUUUAACGGGAGAGACUUCGUUCGCGAACUCGGGAGAUACAACGCAGGCCUGGAGGUAAUGCGAUCGAGGGCCGUGAGGGAAAGCAUACAAGGGCCGGAUUGGUAAUAACGAUCGAAAUGAAGGGCCGAUCGGCCGGGACCACUCGUAAGAGACGGAAUCGUUCGUCAUUAGACCAAGCGGGCGUUCACAAGUUUAAUAUAUUAACGGACAGCCAGGGAGAACACGGAGGUUGAGGUCACGGAGGACGAUUUCGCGCCGGCAGUGGAAAACAAGGCACAGCCCGACGACGCGGAGAGGUUGAACGCUCCGGUCACGACCCUUGACGAUUUCUCACGCAUCGAAGAGGUUCCGUCGCCGAAGGACGAGAUCACGACUCCCGAUGCAGAGGGAGACGAACACAUUCUGUCAGCGGAUUUGCACGGCUUCGAGGACAUAGAAGUCGAGGUGCAGAACGAGGAGUUCCCCGGUAACGGACGGUGAGUGGAAAAUCACGGAGACAACAGCAACAAAGACGACAAUGGAAACAGUAACAGCAAUAAGGCUUCGUUGGCCUCGACGUCGACGCCGAAAGUGGUGCAUUCGAAAACAGAAGAUGGCUUCUCGCACGAGAAAGAGAGGACGAAGAGUAGAACGAUAAAGUUCGCUCGAAGACACGUGGAAACAGAGGACGACCCAGGCACCGCCAGUACUGACAAAGACUCCUCCGACGCCUCGUCCAAGUUGACGAUCUCGCUCCUGCUACAGGAGGAGAUUGUAAAAGCCGCAGGGAAACCGCCAACGGUGAAGUCAGCCGCCAGGAGAAAGAGCAACAAGGGAACACAUGGUAAACCACGGAGCGACAGGUCGGUGAGACAAUGAAUACAUACUCACAUACAUACUCUCUUAACUCGAACACCGUGUCGUCCGUAACAACGACCGGGCGGGAAGAGAGAGAAGUAGCUAGGGACCGGGAACGGUCCAAUUUG